GAAGAAAAGAAGAAAAAGGAGAAGAAAGGAAGAAAAAGGAGAAGAAAGUAAGAAAAAGGAGAAGAAAAGAAGAAAAAGGAGAAGAAAGGAAGAAAAAGGAGAAGAAAGGAAGAAAAACAGAAGAAAGGAAGAAAAAGGAGAAGAAAGGAAGAAAAAGGAGAAGAAAGGAAGAAAAAGGAGAAGAAGAAGAGGAGGAGAAGAAAAGAAGAAAAAGGAGAAUAAGAAGAGGAGGAGAGGAGA
rnacentral:lncRNA from 1 species